UAUCUCUGUAGAGUCUGCAUAUCAAUAAGCGGAGGAAAAGAACCUAACAAGGAUUCCCUUAGUAACGGCGAGUGAAGCGGGAAGAGCUCAAAUUUGAAAUCUUCAAGGUUCUACCUUGACGAAUUGUAGUUUAUAGGAGUGUUUUCUGUAGUGGAAGUUUCGGUAAAAGUUCUUUGGAAUAGGACAUCAUAGAGGGUGAGAAUCCCGUAUUUGACCGUUAUUCCUCUAGCUGUGUGAUACACUUUCAAAGAGUCGGAUUGUUUGGGAAUGCAGUCCAAAAUGGGUGGUAAAUUUCAUCUAAAGCUAAAUAUUGGCGAGAGACCGAUAGCGAACAGGUACCGUGAGGGAAAGAUGAAAAGAACUUUGAAAAGAGAGUUAAACAGUACGUGAAAUUGUCAAAAGGGAAGCGUUUGACACCAGUGUUGUUUUCUCGAAAAUCAAUUAAAAAUAGCUUGAUUUUGUGUUGUAUUGACCUUAAAAGCUUUCUGCACUCUUUUCCUGUUAUUUUUAAUGCACUUUUCGUUUAACAAGUCAACAUCAGUUUCUUUUGUUGUAAAGAGGUCAUUGGAAGGUGGCUUUCACUUUCGGUAGAAAGUGUUUAUAGCCUUUGACUCCUGCAAUCGGAGAGACUGAGGUCUGCAGCGUAGAUCCUUUGGGAUUAGAUUACAUUUGUGCUAAGUUAUAGCUUUUAUAGACAACAUGUUGACUACGAUUAGUCAUUGUAGCUUACUCGCUUAUGCUAUUUUACCUACGCUUAGGAUGUUGAACGCGCACAGAGUCUC
rnacentral:rRNA from 1 species